GGCGGCAGGCCUACACAUGCAAGUCGGACGGUAGCACAGAAAAGCUUGCUCUUUGGGUGACGAGUGGCGGACGGGUGAGUAAUGUCUGGGAAACUGCCCGAUAGAGGGGGAUAACUACUGGAAACGGUAGCUAAUACCGCAUAACCUCGCAAGAGCAAAGUGGGGGACCUUCGGGCCUCACGCUAUCGGAUGUGCCCAGAUGGGAUUAGCUAGUAGGUGGGGUAACGGCUCACCUAGGCGACGAUCCCUAGCUGGUCUGAGAGGAUGACCAGCCACACUGGAACUGAGACACGGUCCAGACUCCUACGGGAGGCAGCAGUGGGGAAUAUUGCACAAUGGGCGCAAGCCUGAUGCAGCCAUGCCGCGUGUAUGAAGAAGGCCUUCGGGUUGUAAAGUACUUUCAGCGGGGAGGAAGGCGGUGAGGUUAAUAACCUUGCCGAUUGACGUUACCCGCAGAAGAAGCACCGGCUAACUCCGUGCCAGCAGCCGCGGUAAUACGGAGGGUGCAAGCGUUAAUCGGAAUUACUGGGCGUAAAGCGCACGCAGGCGGUCUGUCAAGUCAGAUGUGAAAUCCCCGGGCUUAACCUGGGAACUGCAUUUGAAACUGGCAGGCUAGAGUCUUGUNNAGGGGGGUAGAAUUCCAGGUGCANCNGCGAAAUGCGUAAAUAUUUUUGAGGAAU
rnacentral:rRNA from 1 species